GGUCGUCUAGUGUAAUGGUUUAUCACGUCAGUCUCCGAAGCUGAAGGUUGCGAGUUCGACUCUCGCGAUGAUCG